CAAGAGCGUAUGUAAAAGUUGUUGCAGUUAAAAAGCUCGUAGUUGAACCUUGGGUUUGGUUGGCCGGUCCGCUUUUUUGCGAGUACUGGGUUCAACCGAGCCUUUCCUUCUGGCUAACCAGUCGUUUCGGCGGCUGGCGAACCAGGAUUUUUACUUUGAGAAAAUUAGAGUGUUCAAAGCAGGCAUUAGCUUGAAUAUAUUAGCAUGGAAUAAUAGAAUAGGACGUUAUGGUUCUAUUUUGUUGGUUUCUAGGACCAUCGUAAUGAUUAAUAGGGACGGUCGGGGGCAUCAGUAUUCAGUUGUCAGAGGUGAAAUUCUUGGAUUUACUGAAGACUAACUACUGCGAAAGCAUUUGCCAAGGACGUUUUCAUUAA
rnacentral:rRNA from 1 species